rfam:Firmicutes bacterium CAG:466 genomic scaffold, scf207
UACAUUUGCUGGGGGUGCCGCGCAAACGGCUGAGAAUCGGUAAGAGGGCUGAUACCCUUAUUUCACCUGAUCUGGAUUAUGCCAGCGUAGGGAAGCGGAAUCUUGCAGAA